UAUUUGUAUUUCCAUAUAACAUGUUGGCCAGUGUUAUAUGAAAAUUUUCGGUGCCGCAAAAGAAGUAGCACUCGAAUACAAAUUUCCUCAGCAAGGCAAUUUACUUCUAUAGAAGGGUGCGGCUCACAGAUGGAACAAUGGCAAGUGCACACCUGGACAAGGGAGGGGAAGAGGGUUCUUAUUUCUGACAGAGGUAGACCCUACUGCUGUGUUGUUCCCCUAUUGGCUAGGGUUAAACCUCACAGUUUAGGCUAAUUCUGAUUGGCUAUUUUAAAGAGAGCAGAGGUACUAGCCUGAGUGGUGGGGUGGUAGUUUGGUGGGAAGGACAGUUAUGAGACAGGUCAGAGCAGGUAACCAGGGGUCAAAGCAGGUGACCAGGGCAGGUGACCAGGAUGAGUCAGGAUGGAGCAGGGGACUGGGGGAACAGAUGUGAACUACUGAUUAGAAUUGGUGGAAAACGUUGUUUGCUGAAACUACAAGGAAGUUAAACUUUAAAAUGGAGAAUUAAAGGAUAAGAGAGCUGAAAAUACUGACAUAUUGAUUCUAUGAAGAGAAUCUUGGAGUUAACUACAUCUAAUAGCCAGUUGGGUCUUGAACUCCUGACUUCAGGUGAUCUGCCCACCUUGGCUUCCCAAAGUGCUGGGAUUACAGGCGUGAGCCACUGCACUCAGCCAACAGUGGUAAUCUUAAUAUUCAUGUUCUAACCCUGUAUUUUAAACCUUCUUUUAAAAUUUAUCUAUUUUCAUCUAGAAGCAAUCAAACUCCAAAUGGUACUGCAGACAGAAUCACACAUGGACAUGCCAUUCUUCUAAGAAUCCUUGGAUCAACAUCAGGAGGAGGCCCAACAGCUGCCCCUCACAUGACACCCCAUUUUCAGCAGGAAGUAGCCAGAAAGAAUUGUCACCCAACAUGCUCUAACAGCAGUUAGGUUUACUUCUCCAGAGAAAGCGACUUGAAAAACCAGACCGGCAAGCAUUGCUAUGCAAAUGCUGGUGGCUGGAAGCCAGUGAGCUAAAAGAGAAAUGAAUCUGCAGCAAGACUGAGAGAGAACCAGACAUGAACCCAGUAUUUGCCCCUCUAUCUCCAAACAGGUGUUCUGCAGCGUGCCUUCUGACCUGCGGCCUCCUGUGCCUUCCAGGCAGCCACAACUCCUUCCAGAGACUUCCAAGAUGUACUGCCACAGAGGCUGCGUAUCUCUGAGUUCCUCUUAGAUGCAUCCUCAGGCUCCUGCACUGUGGGCUUCACGUUGGAAGAUGAGAGGAGAAGAGAGGUGGGGCCUUGGCCUGGCUUCCUGAGAUCCCACUGUGGCUCUCUCUGGUGACUCUUCUCUUCCAUGCUGUACAGAAGCACAGUAGCUUCUGUUUCUAGGAGGCCUCAGGAGAUUUACAAUCAUGAUGGAAGGUGAAGGAGAACCAGGAAUGUCUUACACGGCCAGAGCAGGAGCAAGAGAGAGGAAGAGGGGAGCUACACACUUUUAAAACAACCAGAUCUUGUGAUAAUUCACUCACUCACUAACACAAGAACAGCACUGAGGAGAUGGUGCUAAAUCAUUCAUGAGAACUCUGCCUCUAUAAUCUAAUCACCUCUCACCAGGCCCCACCUCCAACACUGGGGAAUUUCUUUUUUGUUCCAUUGUUUUUGUUAAUCUAAUUUAUUAGUUGUCAUAGGCUAUGCUAUGCCUGAACUAUCAGUUGAUUAAUAAAAUGAAGGUCAAGUUCUCCCUCA